GGGGAAUUGUUCGCAAUGGGCGCAAGCCUGACGACGCAACGCCGCGUGGAGGAUGAAGAUCUUCGGGUCGUAAACUCCUGUCGAGCGGGAAGAACACUUUCCGGGCAAAUAUCCCGGAAGGCUGACGGUACCGCUAAAGGAAGCCCCGGCUAACUCCGUGCCAGCAGCCGCGGUAAUACGGAGGGGGCGAGCGUUAUUCGGAAUUAUUGGGCGUAAAGGGCGCGUAGGCGGCCCGGUAAGUCAAAGGUGAAAUCCCUCGGCUCAACUGAGGAACUGCCUUUGAAACUGUCGGGCUUGAGGCCGGGAGGGGGUAGCGGAAUUCCCAGUGUAGCGGUGAAAUGCGUAGAUAUUGGGAGGAACACCGGUGGCGAAGGCGGCUACCUGGACCGGUUCUGACGCUGAUGCGCGAAAGCGUGGGUAGCAAA
rnacentral:rRNA from 1 species